rnacentral:lncRNA from 1 species
UUGCAUUUUGGUACAUCUUCCUCAUGAUCUAUGGAGCUAUAACCCCAAGUUUCUCUACCGAUGCUUACAUGGUCUUCCUUGAAGCCCUAGCUCCUGCUCCUUCCUACUGGCUCACCACUCUCUUUGUGAUGAUCUUUGCUUUGACACCUUACUUCGUCUACAAGUCAGUGCAGAUGAGGUUUUUCCCUAAAUACCAUCAAAUGAUUCAGUGGAUUAGGUACGAGGGUCACUCUAAUGAUCCUGAGUUCGUUGAGAUGGUGAGGCAGAGGUCGAUUAGACCCACCACCGUUGGAUACACUGCGAGAAGAGCUGCUAGUGUACGGCGCUCCGGUCGGUUUCACGAUCAGCUCCAUAAGGAUCUUGUUGCUUUCUGAAAAGUAAUGAUGUGAUUUAUGUAAAUAUAUAUAUGUACAUCUCUAAUGUAGAGAUUAGGGCUUCUUUUAUUGAGAUUUCUUGUUAGAGAAGGCGUCUGUAAUUCACUUCACACACACGGCAACAUUUUGUACAUAAACUUUUCAUCUCUAAUGUAGAGAUCAAUGUUUUGUCUGAUUGUAUUUCUUGAUUGAAUAAUAUAUUAAAAUAAUUUCAAACGUGACGGUGGAAACUGAAAAGAAAAGGUAACAAGUUCCUAUAAAUAUCUUGUAGUUCUUCAUUUUUCGUAUUUUCUUCAGUAUUAAAUCUAGAUUAUUUUCGUCAACUAUUUAAUCUAGAUUUUACUAUUUUUAUCACUUUUAUUUUUUGCUUUUCUGAGAACACUGAUUUACCUUCAAAUGUUAAUAAGGUGGAAGAAAUUCACAUGUGGUGCACACAAAGAAAGGAAGAAAUUCACAUGUAUCCACAGUCCGGUACACUGCAUUUAGACCACAUAAAGAGAAAAAACAGCAAGAUUUUGGAAUUUUCAACUUCAGACAAAGACAUAAAGAGAAGGAUCCAGCGAGGUUCGGUGAGAUAAUUUUUUAUUCUUUGUUCACAUUUGUCUUGUGCUAUACCAAGAAGGUGUGCAAAACAUUCUCUUCAGCUGGAAAAGGAUCAUAGGAUGGAUGUUCAAUGGAUUCAUAAGUGCCCUAGCCAUUUUCUUCAUCUGCAAGGAAUCUCUAAAACACCAGCUAUUCGACCCAAACGGCAAAACCGCUGGCCGGGAAAUCAUGGGGGGAUUAAUGUACACUUGUGUUGUGUGGGUGGUCAAUCUCCAAAUGGCUUUAUCAAUAAGUUACUUCACAUGGGUCCAACACAUUGUGAUUUGGGGAUCAAUUGCAUUUUGGUACAUCUUCCUCAUGAUCUAUGGAGCUAUAACCCCAAGUUUCUCUACCGAUGCUUACAUGGUCUUCCUUGAAGCCCUAGCUCCUGCUCCUUCCUACUGGCUCACCACUCUCUUUGUGAUGAUCUUUGCUUUGACACCUUACUUCGUCUACAAGUCAGUGCAGAUGAGGUUUUUCCCUAAAUACCAUCAAAUGAUUCAGUGGAUUAGGUACGAGGGUCACUCUAAUGAUCCUGAGUUCGUUGAGAUGGUGAGGCAGAGGUCGAUUAGACCCACCACCGUUGGAUA